UAAAAGAUAAGCUAAUUAAGCUAGUGGGUUCAUACCCCGCCUAUGUAAGUUUACCCUUCCUCUUUUUA
rnacentral:tRNA from 1 species